GACGAACGCUGGCGGCGUGCCUAAUACAUGCAAGUCGAACGCAGUGGGGACGGGUGAGUAACACGUGGGUAACCUCCCAUCAGAGGGGAUAACAAUUGGAAACAGGUGCUAAACCGAUAUUGGAGGAGGUAGUCGCGUGGCAUUAGCUAGUGGGUGAGGUAACGGCGCACCAAGGCCACGAUGCAUAGCCGGCCUGAGAGGGUGAUCAGCCACACGGGGACUGAGACACGGCCCAGACUCCUACGGGAGGCAGCAGUAGGGAAUAUUGGGCAAUGGACGAAAGCCUGACCGAGCAAUGCCGCGUGAGUGAAGAAGGUUUUCGGAUCGUAAAACUCUGUAGGUAGAGAAGCGGUAUCUACCCAGAAAGCAACGGCUAACUACGUGCCAGCAGCCGCGGUAAUUC
rnacentral:rRNA from 1 species